rnacentral:rRNA from 1 species
UGGGGAAUUUUGGACAAUGGGCGAAAGCCUGAUCCAGCAAUGCCGCGUGUGUGAAGAAGGCCUUCGGGUUGUAAAGCACUUUUGUCCGGAAAGAAAUCCUUGGCUCUAAUACAGUCGGGGGAUGACGGUACCGGAAGAAUAAGCACCGGCUAACUACGUGCCAGCAGCCGCGGUAAUACGUAGGGUGCAAGCGUUAAUCGGAAUUACUGGGCGUAAAGCGUGCGCAGGCGGUUUGCUAAGACCGAUGUGAAAUCCCCGGGCUCAACCUGGGAGCUGCAUUGGUGACUGGCAGGCUAGAGUAUGGCAGAGGGGGGUAGAAUUCCACGUGUAGCAGUGAAAUGCGUAGAGAUGUGGAGGAAUACCGAUGGCGAAGGCAGCCCCCUGGACCAAUACUGACGCUCAUGCACGAAAGCGUGGGGAGCAAACAGGAUUAGAUACCCUGGUAGUCCACGCCCUAAAACGAUGUCAACUAGUUGUUGGGGAUUCAUUUCCUUAGUAACGUAGCUAACGCGUGAAGUUGACCGCCUGGGGAGUACGGUCGCAAGAUUAAAACUUAAA